UAAACAUUAUGUGGGAGAUUUGAGGCUCAGGAGGAUAGGAAAAUCCAGAGCAGAGCCUGGGGGCCAAGAGCCUGAGGGACAGUGACUGUCGUAGCUGGGAAACUGCAAAGCGCUGAGGCCAAAGGGAGGACCCAGCCCUAGAGGACUGUGGGUAAGAGUCACUUCUAGGCCUCUCUGGGCCAUCUUCUCUGGAAGCCCCACCUAAGGAGGUCACUCUGCAGCGGGGGUAGAUGGGCUGACACUGGUGUUCUUGAACAAGGGCCCAAGCUGUCGGAGGAGGAGAAGGAGGUCAGUAGGACUGAACAGGACAGGGGCAGGGCUGGAAUGAGGUGAGCGGGGCGGCAUCAGUGAGUAGGCAGGGAGAGGGGAGCUGAGCAUGGGGGUGGGGGGCGUCAGUGGGCGGUGCAGAAAUGAGGUGAUUUGGGCUCUCACUGGGAGCUGCAAGUCUUCCUCUGUUUUGUCUAACUCCUCUGAGCCCAGAGGCUGCAUGUCCUCUGUGCUGCACAGGGUGGGUGGACAGGGCAGGGCCAGAGACUGCAGUGAGAGUGGGAGAGCAGUUACACCUCAAGUCACUGCCUGGGCUAGAGCUAGGGGUCAUGGGGAGAGUCUUGGUGCACAUAACUGUUGCCCAAUGUAUUCACAUCUGGUGCAGGAGCUCAGAACGUCUCCUCCCAGAAUGGGAAACUUUGUUUUAUUGUUCUAUUAGUGAUAAUGAUAACAACAAUGACAAUAAAAAUAGUAGUGAUAAUAACAACUGACGUUCGGUAGGUGCUUACUCCAUGCUCUGUGCUAAGCACUUUCCAUCCAGGAUCUCAUAUGUUCCACACACAACCCUUGGAGGGGAGGCCUGUUACUUACCCCCAACUGACACAGGUUGAGACUGAGUUUCAGAGAGGUUAAGUCACUUCCCCAAGGCCACACAGCUAUUUUAGAGCAAAAGCUCAGACUCUAGGGUUUGAAUGACUUAGAGUUGAGUCCUGUGCAUCUGCUGGCUGUGCGGCCUCAGAAAAUCACUGAGCCCCCAAGAACCAGCCUGUGCCUCUCUCAAAUGGAGAAACAGCAGUGUCUACCUGCAGUGGCUGAAGGUCAUACGUGUGAAGCAAGGUCCCUGUUAUGUGACAAUCAGUGAAGGCUGCUGUCAUUGCUUUGCUGUACUGUUGUUAUUAUUAUGCCUGCUUUCUCUGCCCACCCCUCUAUCCCCUGCCCCUUGGGAAUUAGUCCUGGGUUUGCCCUUGACGGUGUCCAUUCCAUUCUGGGAGAAGGGGAAGUUUCAGGAAUUGUUCCAGAAGGCACCACUGGAUCUGGCCUCACUGACUGACCCCUCCAGGUCCCCUGAGGCCAACAUGGUCACGAGUUGGUCCUGGCAGGUCACCUGGGAAGGGCUGUAAAAAUGGCCACAAAUUCCUCAGCUCCCUGCAACGACACCUUCAACAUGGUGUUGCAGCCCCUGAGACCAAGGUGGGGAGGCCACCUCCACCCCAUGACUCCGGCUUGGCCAUGACUUGCUUUGGUCAAAGGGAUGAGAGAAACCUGAUGCGAGCAAAGGCUGGAAAAAUGCUUGUGUUCUGGGGCUUGCCCUCUGGGAGCUCUGUGAGCACAUGAAUGAGCCGGGGCUGGUCUGCUGGAUGCUGAGGUCAGAGGAAGGACAACCAAGGCGACCUCUCCAUCAGUCAGGUGUCCUCCAGGAGCAGUCACCCAGCUCACCUGCAGGCAAUGGCAGACACGUAAGGAAGCCCCGUUCAAGCCAGAGGCGCUGCCCAGCUGACCUGCACACUACCCUCGGUGGGGAAGAGGGACCUCACAAGGAAAAGAAGAGUGAGGAGAGAGAAAUCUCGAAGCAGACGUGGAUGUGUGCUCUGACCAGAGCUCAGAGCACCAAGAGAAGCAUCCACCUGGGGUGCAGGAGGAGACCCCUUUCCCUCACCGCAGAGACAGUCCCUGUGCAAGCCGGGCGACACCAUGGGGCUGGUGGCUCAGCUCUCAGCAGAGCCACUCCAUGUCCAGCGUGAGGUCCACAGAGUCAGGAUGGUGGACGCAGACAGUGUCAACCCCAGUGGCUGCUCCACCCUUUCGGGCCUGGGGAGAGAAGGACAUGUGUAUGGGGACAAAACAGAGGGACAUCUCUGGUUGGACAUCCGUUCAUCAGCCCACUUGUAUGUGGAUGCCUGCUCAUCUGCUCUCCUGGUCCACGCAUGAGCUGCUCACAAGGGAAGGGACAUCUUCAAGCCACAAAGGACCAGAGUGAAUGUUUAGAGUCAGGCGACCAUCGGUUCAAGUGACAAACCUUAGUUCUGUCACUUGUUGAAUAAUCAAUAUAAACACCUGUGACUCAGUUCUGCCAUCUUUGCAGUGUGAGUAAUGCUGUAACCACCUAUUAGAAUGUGAUGGGAUUCAGAAAUGAUUGAUACAAAAUACUCAGCCUGGGGCCAGGUACAUACUAAGUGUUCAUUAAUUAAUUAAUUGCUUAAUUAAAUAAAUGUUUUUAGAGCACCCAAACUCCCUAGGAAGACUAAACAGCAGCUCUGAACAGAGAUUCACCAGCUCUCAGAAAGCUGAUCCAACCCAAUUUUUGGGCUGAGCUUCUGAGCAUAAGACACUGCAUAGCAGAGACCCCCACCCACUGCCCACCUGCCUCUUGCCUUACCAGCUCUCUAGGGCAGCAGGAAAAACAAGGCCGAAGGGAUAAUCCAGGGAUCCAGCAGGUGGCGCUGCCAGAGAGCAUGACGGGGAGAAACAGUCUCCUAGCACCUCAGCAGGAUGGACGUGGCCUUGUGCUGAGGUGCUUGUAGCUCUGGUCUCCUAGAUUCUUGAUAAAGGUACAACAUCAGUUUUGUUGCCUGGGAUGCUGCUGAUGGUAAAAAUGGCCCCUAGUUGAUGACCUGCAUCUUUUCUGGGAGGACCAUAAAUGGACACCAAUACCUGGCAGGAAGCUAUAGCUUUGGGCUUCCUUGGUAUGUGGUGACCCUGUUAACUGUGCAGGACUGUUACAAGAGCUCGGUCCCCCCUUUGGGACAUAGGACAUCUAACCCAGAGUGGCUUUGGCACCUAUCCAUUGAGCUUUCGUUUCCGUGCUCAUGGGCAUUCACGUGGGACGACACAAGAACAGGCCCUGGACUGCCAGAGGGUGCUGGCAUGCCAUCUCCUGAGCACCCUUCUCAGGGAGUUGAAGUCACGUCGGGCUAUUCAGGUCUGCAAGUCUGACCGUCUGAUUGGAUUUAGGAUGACCUAGAGAGGGCAGUGCCCAGGUCUGGCACCAGGGCUGGGAACAGCAUGAGGUGAGCAAGGACCGAGGUACAACACUUAAGGAGCACUCCCUCUCAGGGUCGUGGAAGUACAGGGUUGGCACCUGAGGGUGAGCACCUCCUCAAAUACAUUCUGUAGCCUAGGAACCUCGCUUGCCCACCCUAGUCUGGCCAGCCUGCACCUUAUUACACCUCCUAGGACCAAAGAGGAGGCCUCCCCUUGGUGCAGUCAGUCUGCAGACAGUGCACAGUGAGCCGAUGCUGCUGGUGGUGAGCAAGGGCUUGAGCUGAGGAGGAGGGAGUGGGUGGAUGAAAAUAGAUGUAAACAUCAUAAGUAUGAGCUUAUUUGAACUUCCCACACCUUUUGACAGGGGCCACAUCAAAAACGUUCUGCUAUGCGUGGAAGGCGGCCCUGCUGUGGGAUGUGGCGUUUCCUAUGCUCAUAAGAAAGGAAUGAAUAAGGAUUUCCUGCAAGAACUGGAGUAGGCUGUGGGCAGGUUUGGGAGGGAGGCAGGUAAUGCAGCUAUUAUUACAGUGAAUGUGGACACAGACAAUAGAUUGUGAUAAUGCUUUGGCAUUAUUGAUUUUAUCUGCCUGAUCCUAGCAGUCAUUGCUCAGAAGGGCGUAAAAAGCUCUAAGCUCACAGAGAAAAUAUUCCUCAGCCCUGAAUAUGUUAACAUGCUCAUUUGUUGAUGUCUAAAGUACUUAGCAAACAUUAGAUUAUCUGGUGGUUUUAAGAUAUGUCUGCAAAUAUUUGGCACUCCUCCCUUCAAGAGAUGGAACCUGUUCCCCUUGCCUUGGGAGUGGGCUGGACUUAGUGGCUGGCAGUGGUGGGUGUGGCUUUGGAGGCUGGGUCACAAAAAGGCCCUGCAGUUUCUGUGUUGGUUGCUUCUCUCCUGGAUCACUUGUUCUGGGAGAAGUAAGCUGUCACAUCCUUAAGAGGGGGGUCCACGUGGCAAGGAAGUGAGGCCUCCAGCUGACAGCCACAUGAGGGAGCCUUCUUGGAAGCAGUUCCUCCACCUGCACUCAUGUCCUCAGAUGACGACAAGCCCAGCUGACAUCACAGCUGUGACCUUAGGAGAGACCCUGACC
ensembl:lncRNA